CGGAGCGGUGAUAAAACACUUCACGAGUCUGGACUGGACUGGUGAAGCGUUUUAUCAGUGGAGGUUGGCCACUGAAGCCAUCACAUCAACGACAUUAGAAAACAGUUAUGCAAGUGUAACACAUUCAAUUUUCCAAGCAAGAACUCAUUGUAAAAAAUUCCCAAAGAGUGGACACUGGGACCCUCAAAGUGCUAGCAAAAAACAAUCGUCAGUUUCCGAAGUGUUCACCAAAUCGGAGGAUUAGAUUGUUGGAAGUUUCAAUCGAUCGUAGAAAAAAAACACACCAUUUCAGCAGAUGAUAACUGAAAUUUGUGCUCUUCGAUCUCAUCAACAAAGCUGUGAAUCGUCCCCUUGAUUUUCCACCAGGGUCAAGGGGAAGCGGAAGACUCUACUUGGGUAUUUUCCUUUUCUUUCGUCAUGUAUACCGACGGACCUGUGACGGGAUUUUAUUUAAAACCUCAUCGUAGUCAUAAAGACGUAAAAGAAGCGCCGGAGGAUCUCAAUAGCCUUGGUUUGAAAUUUAAGAGAAAAGCCCGGUAACUCAAAAAGACAAAAUGAUAAUUCUUGAAUAAAGAUAUUUUAGUUGAUUCAUUUUUUCCCCUUAGUAUUAUUUUAAUUAUAGGCCAAUUUUGACAGGUGCAGCGCCGAUUUACUGCUAGACACCUCAGAGAUUUGGGAUUCGUAAAACUUCAAAUUGAUUAAAAAUUGAAACUGAAAGCCAGAUGAUGAGGGAGGUUGGGGAUCUGAUUAAAGAUAUGGAUAAUAGCAGUCAGUCAGAUAAGGGGUGGUUGGUGGGCAUGUGGUUGACCUAAAACGCAUUUUUCAAAUAUCUGUCCCAUUCUCCGGGCAACUGUUGCAGGUAUUAAAACAAGAGAGAGAAUUAAAACUCGAAGGUUUAUCAAAAAGUUUCGAUUAAGAAAAUUCCGAGGUAACAACCAAAAUUCUGUUCCCAGCGUUUCAAAAAUUCCCGCAUCGUGAGAGAAUUUUUUAGACAAAAAAAAAAAAACGAUUGAACCCAUACAAAUCCAUAAGUAUUUUCCCGAUUUUAGGACUCAAAUUUCAGAAACUAAUAUUGUAACAAGUUACAAUUGUCAAUAGAAUAAUAUCAAUGAUAAUCAACUCACAAAUCACUCCAUGGAUGAAGUAGUUGAAGCUAGUGAUUUUAUUGACUUAAACUCAACGAGAUGAAAAAGCAAAACGACCUCACUUACUGAGAGCAAAACUACCAAGCCCUAUACCGCCCUAUACUGAAAACCCUUAACGUAAUUUAAAUUGUUGCAGUCAACCAAUCCGUUGCGACGAUCGCAGAUUUAUGCGGUGCAGGGGCUGAAUCGACCGAUUUGCAUCACAUUGUACCAAAACUUGACACCUAUAAGUUUAGCUUACCUUGUGUGGAAGCUGUUUUGAUGAAAGUCCAACGUUCCUACAACUUUACUGCACCGUUUGUUGCCCCCUUACGCCGUCAAAGAAACGAAGCUUCAUGGCUAUAUAAUACCAAAAGGAUGUGUUAUCAUGUUAAAUCGGGAUGCCGUCUUCCUAGAUGCCGAGUCCUACUGGAAAGAACCGGAAGUAUUCCGCCAAGAACACGAAACUGGAAUGAGGAUGGCAGAAAAGUGAUUAAAAGAGAUCAUUUCUAUCCAUUUGGAAAAUUAUGUGUUUUGGAGAUUCCUUGGCAAUUAGCUGAACAUACCUUUUUUCUCUUCACGGCUGCUUUGAUAAAAAAUUUU